rnacentral:rRNA from 1 species
AGAGUUUGAUCAUGGCUCAGAAUCAACGCUGGCGGCGUGCCUAACACAUGCAAGUCGAACGAGAAAGCAGGAGCAAUCCUGUGAGUACAGUGGCGACCGGGUGAGUAACACGUGACUAACCUGCCCUUGAGCGUGGAAUAACUCCGGGAAACCGGAGCUAAUACCGCAUAACACCGUAAGGUCAAAGGAGCAAUCCACUCAUGGAGGGGGUCGCGGCUGAUUAGCUAGUUGGUAGGGUAAUGGCCUACCAAGGCUUUGAUCAGUAUCCGGCCUGAGAGGGCGCACGGACACACUGGAACUGAAACACGGUCCAGACUCCUACGGGAGGCAGCAGUGGGGAAUUUUGCACAAUGGGGGAAACCCUGAUGCAGCAACGCCGCGUGAAGGAUGAAGUCCCUUGGGAUGUAAACUUCUUUCGAUCGGGACGAUUAUGACGGUACCGGAUGAAGAAGCACCGGCUAACUCUGUGCCAGCAGCCGCGGUAAUACAGAGGGUGCGAGCGUUGUUCGGAAUUAUUGGGCGUAAAGGGCGCGUAGGCGGUGCGGUAAGUAUGCGGUGAAAUCCUGGGGCUCAACCCCAGGCCUGCCGCGUAAACUGCCGUGCUGGAGUGUGGGAGAGGUGCGUGGAAUUCCCGGUGUAGCGGUGAAAUGCGCAGAUAUCGGGAGGAACACCUGUGGCGAAAGCGGCGCACUGGACCACAACUGACGCUGAGGCGCGAAAGCUAGGGGAGCAAACAGGAUUAGAUACCCUAGUAGUCC